UUUUUGGAGAGUUUGAUCCUGGCUCAGGACGAACGCUGGCGGCGUGCCUAACACAUGCAAGUCGAACGGUCUAAUGCUUAACACUGAGUGUUCCGUAAAGUUGAGGACAGCGAGAGCGCGAAGCAUGAGCGCUCCACGCAUUAAUAAGUACCAACAUACUUGAGAGCUGAACGUUGAGUGUUAAGUAUUAGAUAGUGGCGGACGGGUGAGUAACGCGUGGGUAACCUACCCAUAAAGCCGGGACAACCCUUGGAAACGAGGGCUAAUACCGGAUAAUCUUAUUGCUUGGCAUCGAGCUUUAAGGAAAGGUGGCCUCUGAACAUGCUACCGAUUAUGGAUGGACCCGCGUCUGAUUAGCUAGUUGGUGGGGUAAAGGCCUACCAAGGCGACGAUCAGUAGCCGGCCUGAGAGGGUGAACGGCCACACUGGGACUGAGACACGGCCCAGACUCCUACGGGAGGCAGCAGUG
rnacentral:rRNA from 1 species